rnacentral:rRNA from 1 species
UACGGAGGAUCCAAGCGUUAUCCGGAAUCAUUGGGUUUAAAGGGUCCGUAGGCGGUUUAAUAAGUCAGCGGUGAAAGCCCAUCGCUCAACGGUGGAACGGCCAUUGAUACUGUUAAACUUGAAUUAUUAGGAAGUAACUAGAAUAUGUAGUGUAGCGGUGAAAUGCUUAGAGAUUACAUGGAAUGCCAAUUGCGAAGGCAGGUUACUACUAAUGGAUUGACGCUGAUGGACGAAAGCGUGGGUAGCGAACAGG